CACGGAUAGUCGCCGCAUACGCCUAUUUCACCAAGACCGGCGGAAGGAGUACAGAUGUUCUUCCGUAACUGGAGAUGCCAACAUCUCAACGCUAAAAACCAGGGACCGUGUGCUUAUGGUUCUGCACAUCACUCCAAAUUCACGUUUCCCCUCUAGUGUUGAUGAGUUUCGGGAGGCAGAGUUUGGGCUUAAAUUGUGAGAUGAUUGCCAACAACAUCAAGGCCGAUUCGAACCCCAAAUCCAGGAAAUACAGACACACAACAACACGAGGACUGUGAGGCUGCUGCCUCUCGUGCCUCCAUCACAAACAACAAAGAAGAAAGUCGGGUUUCACUUCCUGUUCACCCUCUGUGGUGCCUGCUUCCUCCUCUCAACACGCACACCAUGAUCCAGUCUCCCCCUGCCUCGCUCUGAACACGAGAGAUACACAUUCCAGCUUUAGAAAGUAUUUGCAUCUUAAAGCAUAUAUAAAUGUAUGAUAUAUGUAUUGCUUAAAACACCUUUUUAACAUUGCAUUUACUUAAUCACGCAAGCUGAUUAGUUUCUCAUUUGAUUUGUUAUUGUAAUUCACAUUUUUUAAAUGAUUUACUUAUUCAGAAUUUUAUUGUUGGGGUUCAUGUCCCCAAGAUUUACUUUGGA